rnacentral:rRNA from 1 species
ACGAGUGGUGCAAACGUUAUUCGGAAUCACUGGGCUUAAAGGGUGCGUAGGCGGCCAUGAAGGUCUGAUGUGAAAUACCACGGCUCAACCGUGGAAUGGCAUUGGAAACCAUAUGGCUGGAGUGAGACAGAGGUGAGCGGAACAGAUGGUGGAGCGGUGAAAUGCGUUGAUAUCAUCUGGAACACCGGUGGCGAAAGCGGCUCACUGGGUCUUUACUGACGCUGAGGCACGAAAGCUAGGGGAGCAAACGGGAUUAGAUACCCCGGUAGUCCUAGCUGUAAACGAUGAGUACUAGUCCGAGGGGACCCCCACAUCCUCUCGGACGUAGCGAAAGUGUUAAGUACUCCGCCUGGGGAGUAUGGUCGCAAGGCUG